rnacentral:misc_RNA from 1 species
UAAUAAGUGUUUUAUGGCACUUUUUAAAUCCAUAUCCACCUUGUGUGCAAUGUCAGUCGAUCUUCUUCAUGGAGAUCGACCAAACAUCAACCUUUAUCUUUUAACUCUUUGUCUGAAAAAUAUUAUGAAUAAAACAAUUCAAAAUA